GGCCUACCAAAGCGACGAUCCAUAGCCGGCCUGAGAGGGUGGACGGCCACAUUGGGACUGAGACACGGCCCAAACUCCUACGGGAGGCAGCAGUGGGGAAUAUUGCACAAUGGGGGAAACCCUGAUGCAGCGACGCCGCGUGAGCGAUGAAGUAUUUCGGUAUGUAAAGCUCCAUCAGCAGGGAAGAAACUGACGGUACCUGACUAAGAAGCACCGGCUAAAUAC
rnacentral:rRNA from 1 species